GGGUACAGGGCUAGAUGAAGGUGGUAGGGUUGAGGGUUAGGACUAGAUGAAGGUGGUAGGGUGCAGGGUUAGGGCUAGAUGAAGGUGGUAGGGUACAGGGUUAGGGCUAGAUGAAGGUGGUAGGGUACAGGGUUAGGGCUAGAUGAAGGUGGUAGGGUGCAGGGUUAGGACUAGAUGAAGGUGGUAGGGUGCAGGGUUAGGGCUAGAUGAAGGUGGUAGGGUACAGGGUUAGGGCUAGAUGAAGGUGGUAGGGUACAAGGUUAGGGCUAGAUGAAGGUGGUAGGGUACAGGGUUAGGGCUAGAUGAAGGUGGUAGGGUACAGGGCUAGAUGAAGAUGGUAGGGUACAGGGUUAGGGCUGUGGGGGAUAUGAUGAGUUAAAAGCCUCUACACCCAAGAAUCCAUGACAGAUUAGCUCAUGUACUUAACGUUGAUCAAUAAAGUUGAUAGUGUUGAAAUGAACCUUGUAAUGGAUGGGCGUGAGCUGGCACUAACAGAUAUCUGUGUGCUACAAUGACACGAUUCAGGGACACUAGGAAAUGCUUAUUGUAAAAACCAAUCAAUGAAAACUGAAACCUUUUCAUAUGGAUAGCUGUUCCCUAGCCCAAAUCAUGAUGUCACUGCACUAAGUUUGGACUUUGCACUUGAAGCUUUAUCUUUUAUCUUUGAGUUGUACUUGAAGUUCUGUUGAGUCAAGACUCACCCACUGACAUGUCUGUCUGUCUGUCUGCCUGUCCGUCUGCCUGUCUGCCUGUCCGUCUGUAUUUCUAGAAAGCCUGGAGGAGAUUUUUCUUUAAUGAAUGAGGGAAGGGACCGUUCUCUCCAGAGGAGUUGCUUGGAUGGACAAGACGGAGACAUACAGGUGAUUGGAUGGAUUAGAGAAAGAGAGCUUCUGAUUGGAGAAAGAGAUUCUGACCUCCCGCCUUCAGUAACAAGGAUUCAUCCUGUUGUUGUAUUCUGAACUAGCAGGGAAUCUCUGUUACUGGGGGUGAGGGUACAGAGAGCUCACACAAACACAUUCCCACACACGAAGACGCACACCCAGACACACGUUUGUUAUUUUACUGCUUACACUUCUCCUGUACUGUGCUAUGUAUGUACUGUAUCUAAUUUGAUUAAAGAUGUGAGAAGAUGUUCUUGACUUCUGGGGUCUGUAUUAC
ensembl:lncRNA